CACCCCCGCGGACCACACGCCCUUGUGUCCGCACAGUAAAAAACAGUGGUUAGAUGCCACAACGUAAGUGGCAAUGCCUUAACCGUAUGCGUGUUGUUAGACCCGAAGGUCUCUUCCAUCCUUGUCAAGGGGAGUGCUAACCUUCUCUCCUUUCAUACAACACGUUUUCACUCUUCGCGCGCUCCCUAUUUAAGAACCCGCCUGCGCACCGCCUUUUGCUUACGGCGACUUCGCGUUCGCACCUCACACACGCUGGUGAAAGCGAUCGCAUCCAACAGAUAGCCGAGAAUAAGUUCUUUUUAAGUCGCUAUAUUAUUUUAGCGCGAUGAAAAAACUUCUUUUUCGUGUUCUAAUAUAUUCAUAAAACAAGCCAAUCAGAGGCUGACAGGAACACCCGGAAGUCCAAGCGUCCCUCAGGAAAAUAGAUUCCCCCGGAAACAAAACAGGGUUGGCGCGCACUUCCUACAGCGACACGCCUCGCGGAAAUGGCUCGGAACUUUCUGCGGAAAUGGAAGUGGUUGGUAGCGAAUCAGAGGACGAGGAAGGAAGAGCCGCUCCACGGACAUCCGGACGCGGCCCUGCGCUUGGAACUGUGGGUGCGGCGGGAGCCGGGGCGUGGUCUGCGCAUGCUCCCAGCCUACGCCACUCGUCUUCCGCGCAUGCUCUGAGCCCGCUCCGCGCCAUUUUUGAGCCGACGGUUCGAACCCCGGGGCGGGACGGAGUCUGCGCGGAGCCGGCUUUUGCUCUUCCCGUCCGUCCUUUCCCUAGAGUUUUAGGAUUUAAAUCCGAUGCUUCGGGUGCUGGCCGUCCCCGCAGUGUAGACGGUGGGGCCAUGCGGCCCCGGCCGAGGCGGUGACGCGGUGCCUCCCCACGGCUGCGGGCGCGUGGUUCCCCGGCCGGACGCGCGUGUGCGCUGGGCUCCGUGCGACCGGGGGCGACCUUCCGAUGAACCGCGCGGGCUGAGAAAGGCGUGUGCAUGUGUGCAUAAGCAUAUGUGCAUACGUGUGCAGACACGCCUGCGUGUCCACAGCGUCCGUGCACGCCCAGGCGUCCCUGAGCGCGCCCGUCCACACCGUGUAUGCGCGCACAGACAGAAGGGCAGUGGACAGAAGGGGGGGGCGGUAGGUCCAGCCAAGGGACGCUGAGCCGGCUGGGGUGGACACGGCCUGCAGGAGGCUAGCAGUGUCCCCCAUCCAGUUCUCCUUUGAGAAGUUCCCAAUCAGCCGGUUAGUUACAGGCGACUUCAAGACGAUGACACAGACAGGGGAAGAACUUGCAGAAUAAGGUGGAGGCUGCCUGUGAGGGAAGGUGGCCAGAGGGUCUUCGCAGUGUUGAGAGGACCAGUCGGGAAGGGCCCACGAGGAGCAGCUCCCUCCCGGGACUGGCGCAGACGUGGGUUCCUGGGCUGCAUUUACUGAGGCUGCUUUUCCGGGCGCCUGCUGGUGCUUCCUGGUCAUCAUCAGACCCGAGUUCACCGGGAACGGAACUCACUAGACCAUCCCCAGGGGUGGUUCCUAAAGGCCCCCGCGUGGGAUCAGGGGCUACACCCAGGAAGUCCCAGAAAUAAGAGAAGGCGAGAUCACCCACCUGACCUGCCUGUUUUGCAGAAGCUGAGGGAGAGGAGGGCCUUGCUGAGCACCCCCUGCCCAUUGUUUCCUGGGUGGUUGGGGGGAGGACCCAGACCCAGAUGGUGGAAGUGUGGGGUCCCCUCCAGCCCUGGCGAAGCCCCAGGCCUGUGUGAGCCUUUUCCCUGCAAGUGUCCUGGUGAAGAUGCUAGAUUAAAUACCAACGCCUGGUUAGAUUGGAAUCUCAGGUAAACAGCACUGAAAGUGUGAGUAUGCCUCAAAUAUUUUAUGGGGCGGUGCUUAUACUAAAACGUAUUCACUAUU